GUGGUGGAGAAGAGGAUCGAGGACUUCACUGAGUCACUCUUCAUCUUGCUCAAGUCCAAGUGGCUGGAUGGGACCCCAACAAGUCUGGGGAAAGGAUCCCCCUCCUCUGCACCUUGUUUGAGAAGGAGGACUUCAUGGGACUGGACACAGACAGCAGAUCGUUUUGGUUACUGAGACCCUCGAAUUCCCAUAUGAAUUAUAACAGCAGCUAAUCAGUUUUUGCAGAGGAGCCCACUGGGAUUGUGAUCGAGACCACGUAGAAUAUACGGAUCACUCUGGGGAGCACUGCCAUUCCAAGAGCACUGUCUUCUGAUCCAGGAAUGUACGUGGCGUGUCUGUCCAGGUGCCCUCACAUCCAGUGGCAUCCAUCCAGACACCAACACUGACACUGGCCAUGCUCAGAACUACCUCAGCCCUGAAGACACAAGUGACAAAUAGAAGGGGGCCGCGCCCUGUUACAGCAGGUGCUCUCACUUUGUGGGUCCUUAUGUAAAUGCGCGGUGUUAAUCAGGAUCGCCCGUUCUACAUUGUGUGGCGCUGCUGCGGUGUCUCCUAGUUAUUUGUUUCUGAGAAUUACGGCCUGCUGCUAGAGUGUUUGAUCAGGAUAAAUGAUUUGUUUCUAUAAGAUGCCACGUACAGUCACAAGCUCAGUGAGAAAUGGGCUGUCACCUCUUCAUCUGCAACUCAGUGCUCGACAGGACAUCGGGGCAAAGCCAGUCCGUAAUUUGUUUGUGAUGCAAGUAGGAACAAAAUUAAUGUCUUGCCUUUCCCUUGCAGUAUUCUUACUCCUUUGCUUCAUUUACUUCUUUCCUCCUUUCCUUUCCCCUCCUCCACCAAAAGAUCCUGAGACUCUCUCAGAACACUAGAUUCAAAUUACUUUAAAGGGUGUCUCAUCCUCAUGAAAUGACAGUAACUUAAAAAAAAUCUGUACAGAUCACAGACGUCAUUGUAUUUGAUUUACACACACACACGCACACCCACCCACACACACA